rnacentral:tRNA from 1 species
UCUAAUAUGGCAGAACAGUGCAGUGGAUUUAAGCCCCACAAAUAAAGUUUUACUUUUUUUAGAA